CCCUUAAGCAGCGUCUCCAUUCCUGUGAUGAUGUGUUUGGCUCCGUUCCUCACACUCUGAUGGUCAAGUGUUAUAUUGCAUAUGAUGAGAACUUGAGGAAGGAAAAGACAGAAACAAGUGAACUGCAGCUCUGGGGUUGCCUGCUGGCUGUGAUCAGAAGCAAAUGGGUCAUGUGACUUGGGGAAGCAAAGGUGAGUGCCCAGAUGACCAGAGAUUUUCAUUGCUAGGGGUCACCAUGCACCUGGAGCUACUGGCCACACCCUUUCAGUGUUAACUGAGAAAGGGAUUCCUGAAUCAGAGACAAUGUUUUAGCAAAAAUGUAAAUUUAAAACUUUUAAAACUAACUUGAGUAAACUUAGAGAAGAAUGUGGAGCAUAUUUUUGCUUUUUAAAAAUAAAGUAUCACAGGCUGGGGAUUUAGCUCAGUGGUUGCGCCAUAUGCCUUGCAAGUGCAGGGUCCCACAUUCAAUCCCUGGUUAAAAAAAAAAAAAAAAAAAAAAAAAAAACAAAAAAAAAAAAAAAAAAAAAAACAAAAAACACAAAAAAGCAAAACCAAAUAUAA
rnacentral:lncRNA from 1 species